rnacentral:lncRNA from 10 species
AAUGUGGGGUCAGAGCCCCCACACAGAGUCCCCACUAGGGUAGUGCCUGGUGGAACUGUGAGAAGAGGGCCAUUGUCCUCCAGACCCCAGAACGGUAGAUCCACCGACAGCUUGCACCGUGCACCUGGAAAAGCCACAGUCUCUCAAUGCCAGCCCAUGAAAGCAGCUGGGAGAGAGGCUGUACCAUGCAAAGCCACAGGAGUGGAGCUGUGCAAGACCAUGGGAAGCCACCUUUUGCAUCAGCGUGACCUGGAUGUGAGACAUGGGGUCAAAAGAGAUCAUUUUGGAGCUUUAAGAUUUGACUGCCCCGCUGGAUUUCGGACUUGCAUGGGGCCUGCAGCCCCCUUGUUUUGGCCAAUUUCUCCCAUUUGGAAUGGGUAUAUUUACCCAACGCCUGUAUCCCUAUUGUAUCUGAGAAGUAAUUAACUCACUUUCGAUUUUACAGGCUCAUCGGCUCAGAUUUGCCUUGUCUCAGAUGAGACUUUGGACUAUGGACUUUUGAGUUAAUGCUGAAAUAAGUUAAGACUUUUGGAGAUUGUUGGGAAGGCAUGAUUGGUUUUGAAAUGUGAGGACACAAGAUAUGUGAGAGUCCAGGGGUGGAAUGAUGUGGUUUGGCUGGGGCCCCACCCAAAUUUCACCUGAAUUCCCACGUGUUGUGGGAGGAAUCUGGUGGAAGGUGGUUGAAUCAUGGGGGCAGGUCUUUCUCACGCUGUUCUCGUGAUGGUGAAUAAGUCUCGCAAGAUCUGAUGGUUUAAAAAGGGGAGUUUCUCUGCACAGGAUCUCUUUAUGCCUGCUGCCCUCCAUGUAAGAUGUGACUUGCUCCUCCUUGCCUUCCGCCAUGAUUGUGAGGUUUCAGCCACGUGGAACUGUACUGGACUCGAGUGUUUUGCAAACAGAAAAUCAUCACCCACAGUUUACCAGGUGUUAUGUGUAUGUAAGAGAGAGAAGGUCUGUGAUUCUCAAGCCAUGCUCUUGCAGGGCACUGAUAUUCAGGAUGCAGGAGAAGAGUACUUUGCAAUUAAAUCAGAAUAAAAGCAGUUUUUUCCAAAUCUGAAGAAUAAAAUUGAGUUAAUGGACAGA